CAAGCCUAACACAUGCAAGUCGAACUGGCAGCACAGUGAGAGCUUGCUCUCUGUGUGUGUGCGAGUGGCGGACGUGGUGAGUGAAUACAUCGGAAUCUACUCUGUCGUGGGGGAUAACUGUAGUGGAAACUUACGCUAAUACCUGCAUACGACCUACGGGUGAAAGCAGGGUGAUCUUCGGACCUUGCGCGAUUGAAUAGAAGCCGAUGUCGGAUUAAGCUAAGUUUAGUAGCUGAGUGAGUAAAUGUGCCCAACCAAUGGCUGAACUGAAUCCUGUAGCUAGGUCUUGAGAGUGAUAGAUCAUGCCCACACUAGGAAACUU
rnacentral:rRNA from 1 species